rnacentral:misc_RNA from 1 species
GUAGGUGAACCUGCGGAAGGAUCAUUAUCGUGAUUUUUAAUACAAAUCAACGUAUUCACCAAAUUGUGAACUGUUUCUAUAACCUUUUGAUUAGGGUUGUUAGGAAAAAAAGAGAAGCUAAUUCUUGGUCCGUGGCGUCAUUUGUUCUUCAUUGAUAAAUGAACUCUUUUCUUGAAUGAUUUGAAAAGAGGAAGGCUUGGACUAUGAAUUCUUUUGAGUUCUUAAAAACAACUCAAAACUUAUUCUUUUU